UACGUAGGGGGCAAGCGUUGUCCGGAAUCAUUGGGCGUAAAGCGCGUGUAGGCGGCCAGAAAAGUCCGCUGUGAAAACUCGAGGCUCAACUUCGAGCUGUCGGUGGAAACUUUCUGGCUAGAGUCCGGAAGAGGAGAAUGGAAUUCCUGGUGUAGCGGUGAAAUGCGCAGAUAUCAGGAAGAACACCCGUGGCGAAGGCGGUUCUCUGGGACGGUACUGACGCUGAGACGCGAAAGCGUGGGUAGCAAACAGG
rnacentral:rRNA from 1 species